UCCAAACUGCUUAGAAAGUUACCAACCGGUUCUCCCGAAUAGGUGCGAACUGGCUGAAUCCCACCACUGGAUUGCAUUCACGUGAAACUGCAUUGAAAAUAGUUGAUUUCAUUGCAAAAGAAAUCAAAACCAAAAUAUUUACUAGCAUUAUUGAACAUAAUCUGAAAAUAUGUUUGAUUAUUGAUGAAGUCUCAACGCUAGCUUGUAAACCAGUUUUGAUAGUUUUCGUAAAAGUUGAAGAUUCAGUUUGCUCCCCAACAAUUUUCCUUGAGCUAGUUGAAUUGGAAAAACAAGAUCCAGAGACAAUAUAUUCUUCAGUUAUAGAAAGUUUAAAUAAUGUUGGGCUUACUAAGAACUACCUAGAAAAAAACUAAUAGGAUUUUGCUCCGAUAGUGCCAGUGCUCUGCUUGGGGGAAAUUAUUUUUAUUCAAAUGAAAAGAACUUAGCUGCACAUCUUGAAAAUAUAUAUUUUAUAACUGAUUUGGCACUGAUGAUUAAUAUUUUAAAUGAAAUUUCUUUCAAAUGCACUGCAAGCAAGCAAGCAAGCAAUAUGGACAUAAUAAAGGCUGAAAAACUCAUGCUAAGAUCUAUUAAAGCAUUUCAAAUGCUUGGAAAGGCAAAGCGUCCAUAUGAAAAAAAAGUUGGUGAAUUAAUUACUUCAGAAACAUUCAAAAAUAUAAAAUUUGUAGAAAAUAAUCGAUUUGUCGGGCUUCAUCGGGAAAGACUUUUAGAAGCCAUUACAAUAAAUUUGCAAAAAAGCCUGUGAACAUUUAAAAGCAAAGUUGUAGCCAAUUUCAAGAUAGGAAUCAAAUACAAUUUCUCAAUUUUUUGGAGCCAGAUUACUGGAAUAUUGAAGAAGUACUAGUUCCAUGGAAAACAGCUGAAGAACAAUUGCUCAUAUUUAAUGACAUUUUUCAUUACCAAAUUGAUAUUAAUGAUUAUCGAGAUUUUGUGAAAAACGUUUUACGAAAUUCCCAAAGCUAUGCAAUUCCUGAAAGUGUUCAAAGAGCUAAAAAUAUUAUCAGAACAACUGCUGUGAGUUCAGCACAAGCGGGAAAGAUUUUUCCAAAGAUGAACAGAUGUUCAGCGAAUAUAUGUUGCCUAACUGUUUCUAAUAUAUCAAACACAAUAACCAUUAGUGCUAUCGGCCUACCUCUACAGAAAUGGGAUCCUACUCUUACAGUGAAAAAAUGGCUAAGCCUAAAUCACACAGAUGAUGGUCCCAACAAAAGCGAAGAAAAUUGCAAGUGAAGGCGUCAAUCUAAGAACAACAUGGAAAUAUCUUGGGUAACAGUUUUAUUGUUUUUGUCAGGUGCCAGGCACAGAAGUCCCCACCCCACCCCACCCCACCCCAAAGCAGGCCUGUCAUACCAGUUCAUACCCUGCUGAUUGAAAGCCCAGAUACACUGGGCAAGCCAUGUUACAAGGAUGCCAGACCACCGUCUCGCUAAGCAGCUCCUCCGUGGUGAGCUGUCUCAAGGAAAGCGAUACAAAGACAUGCUGAAAGCCUUUCUGAACUCCCUGGAUAUUGACACCACCUCCCGGGAAACCUUGGCAGAAGAUCAAUCGACAUGGUGAACUUUGAAUCCACCAAGGCUACCAGAGAUUUGAAGACAGAAGAACAAC